UACUUUGAGGGCAUCAAACAGACCUUUGGCUAUGGUGCAUGCUUGUUUUAGGGCCAGCAACAGGGGUUCUGGCCCUGUUGAAACUUUAGUCCAGCCCUCUCGCAAUGGCUUGUGACUCACAGGAUUGCACCAUCCCCACUGCUAACUUGGGGCUGGGGCCUCCCUUUCACAGAUACCUUGGGUUUGUGCAUGUUUUCUGCUGGGUGGGAUCUGAGGGUGAUUUCUCUUUUACCUGUACAUAUGCUAAGUAAACAGAAUUUUAAAGGCAAAAAAAAAAAA
rnacentral:lncRNA from 1 species